rnacentral:lncRNA from 1 species
GGAAUUCCUUUUUUUCUAUUGGCUAAUGAUUUAGCUUCUUUAUAUUGAAUCGGCACACAAGAUAACAAAUGUCUAUUUAAGCCCCCCGUCCCACCUUGACCUCCACCUUGUUUAUGUUUAAAAGGUUGCUUACACUUAUUACAAAUAGCAAUAGAAUUUUCCUUAUCUAAAGUCAUAAAUUGCCACACAACAGAAGUUUUAGGGCGUUGAUACUUCACCUUCUCCCUUGUAGGAGGUAUAAGGGGUGGGCGUCCAGAAUUUUGCUCCGUUGAAUUUGUAGUUUCAUUUGGAGCAUUUGUCACCGGACUAGUAGGUGUAGGUGUAUCUUCUAAUUCAUCUUCUCCCGAACCAACUUCUACUUCUUCACCUGAAUUUUCAUCAAGAUAAGGAUUAAUAUCACCAUAAAUUUGUUGUAAAAGUUCAUGAUCGAGUUGAGCAUUUGAAUCAAUAUCAUAAGAAGUAUCAUCAACAUAAGUAGAAUCAUUUGUAUUAAAUCUAACUCUAGAAGUACCACCACAUUUACUCUUAUUUUUUUCCUUACUACUUUUUUUAGUAAAAUUAAAUAAUCUACUAAUGCCACUUGGUUCUUUCUCUUUUCCUUUACCGGUAUCUUUUUUGUU